GUGGAUGGUCUUUUGUCAGCAACAAAGGGCUGAUGUAGGUUUUCUAUAAAUAUUUAAUAAACCAGAAUUUAAAAACUCAUUUUGUGUUUUGUGGUUUACCUCUGUCCAAUAUUCAAUAAAAAUAAAGUUUAGUUUGAUGAUCUGGAACACUUGAGAAAUAUGCAGAAAAUGGAAAACGUCUGUAGGGGGGCAAAUACUUUUUCAUGACUCUGUGUAUUUUGGACUUUCCUGCAAGCACCAGAGAAUAUAAAUUACAGCAAAAGUCAACUAUCAAAGCAGAAAAUUAAAUGUUGUACUGGUUCAUUUUGUAUCCAGGACCUGCUUAGAACCCAAUGAUACAGAUAAAAAGCCACUAAAAUGAACAUUUUGGUGCUUUGUGUUGGUGGUAAAACUAGACAACUGAGCACUGAAGAUUGAUAUAUGAACACGAGCUGCCCGUCUGUUGCAUAUUUGAAUUUGUGCGAAAGAAUAAUGUCUGUCUCAGAGCUCGUCAUGUCUCAGUGCUCCGCCACGCACCAAGGACUGGUCUGAAGUCAGAGUCCAGUCAGACAUUUACAUAGGAACCGUGAGGAGAGCUUUCUCCAAGCUGGUGGAAAUCUGCAAUGAACUCGACAAGAAACUAUCCACAGAAGAAGUAAGCAGUGUGGCUAAAUAUGCAGAGGACGUAACUCUGGAUCCUGAGACCGCUGCAGGCUGGCUCAUUCUGUCCUCAGACGGGAAAAAGGU